GAUCCUGGCUCAGGACGAACGCUGGCGGCGCGCCUAACACAUGCAAGUCGAACGGAGCUUGAAGAGCUUGCUUUUUAAGCUUAGUGGCGAACGGGUGAGUAACGCGUGAGUAACCUGCCCUGGAGUGGGGGACAACAGUUGGAAACGACUGCUAAUACCGCAUAAGCCCACGAUCUGGCAUCGGAUUGAGGGAAAAGGAUUUAUUCGCUUCAGGAUGGACUCGCGUCCAAUUAGCUAGUUGGUG
rnacentral:rRNA from 1 species